AUCCGGUUGAUGAGUUCCAAAUAGGACGAAACGAGCGUCCUAGAU
rfam:Schistosoma curassoni strain Dakar, Senegal genome assembly, scaffold: SCTD_contig0002471